rnacentral:tRNA from 1 species
UCCUUGGUAGCUCAGUCAGUAAAGAAUCUGCCUGCAAUGCAGGAGACCCAGGUUUGAUCCCUGGGUUGGGAA